GAUGAACGCUGGCGGCGUGCUUAACACAUGCAAGUCGAACGAAAAGACCAUGCUCUUGUUGGGUGCUCGAUAGGCGCACGGGUGAGUAACACACGAGUAACAUGUCCUUGUAUUAGGGAUAAAUUCAGGAAACACCGGCGAAUACCCGAUAGGAUCUCCUGCAGCACGGGGGGGGAUGGAAAGAUUCGGCGGUUGGGGCUGGAAUCGAGGCUUAUCAGCUUGUUGGGGGGGUAGUGGCUUACCAAGGCUUUGACGGGUAGCCGGCCUGAGAGGGUGACCGGCCACAUUGGGACUGAGAGACGGCCCAGACUCCUACGGGAGGCAGCAGUGGGGAAUAUUGCACAAUGGGCGGAGGCCGGAUGCAGCAACGCCGCGUGCGGGAUGACGGCCUUCGGGUGGUAAACCGCUUUCGCCUGUAACGAAGCGUGAGUGACGGUAACGGGUAAAGAAGCCCCGGCUAACUACGUG
rnacentral:rRNA from 1 species